AUGCAGCCUAGACCUGCAUCUGUUGGGGGUCUGGUAGGAAACAGGCUGUCAACUUUGGCCAAAGCCAGUGUGGAGGUGGAGGAGAGUGAGUUGCUCAUGCAGCUCACAGAAGCCAAGCGUCCAGCCAGAGGAGGAUGCAGGGGGAAGGAGCCUGGCUGUGGGAAGGUUGGCUCUCUGUCUCUGUCUGCCUUGAGGCAGCUCUGCCUCUUGGGAACCCUGGGAGCACUUGCCUUUCCUUGCAACUUGACCUGGAGUGGCUGUCAUGCCUGUUAGUGCUGUGCUGCUGGGCUAUUGCCCUGUAUUUUCAGUUUGGAUCACAUCUCCUUCUUACCAUCAGCUUGCAAAAGCAAAGAUCUUCGCUCAUUCUCUUUGUAUUCCUGCUUUGGAAAUGACUAGAUAUCCCGGGAAGACUUGGUCAUGUCUGUUUUGAAUACUGUACUAACCCUCCAUAGCAUCAGGACCUGGAUUGGGGGUGCUGGUAGAUUUGGGGGAGCGUGUGCUGCAAAUCGGUUUAAGGGUGAGGACACUGAAUGUUCUGGCCUUGCCUCGUGGAGUUUCCACCUGAUGAAGGAAGAAGCAGGAGCUGAAAUCCGCCCUGCAGAGGACUUGGUGGAAGACAGGUUUAUCAGCGGACAUGUAGGGACAGAGAUACAGACCGGGAUGGGAUGUGAGAUGUGAGGGUAGGACCAAGUGUCCUGAGUCACCAUCAGGCAGACAGCAAGGCCUGGGAAGGGACGUGGCUCCCAGGUUAAAGAGGGCGCCCACUCUAAUCCAGACCUGCAGUGUCUAAUGCAGCCACCACUGGCUCUUCACCCUUAAAUUUACUCGAAUUAAGUCAGACUCACUAAUUUUAGUUCCUCAGUUGCAGCAGCCACAUUCCGAGUGGUGCAGAGUGGUUGCCCAUGUAGACUGGAGUAUUUCCACCACAGUGGGACCUUUCCCUGCUCUGGAACAGCUGAGAGAUUUUAGGGUCCCAAUAAUGCUAGAAUAAAUACCCACUCAGAUGAUUUUUAUCUGUGCAGAUAUCUAACACAGCUACUUCCAGAUCUUCACUUUGCCAGUGAAUAGUUGUAUGGAGUCCCCAAAUCUCAGUUCUCAGUUAGAAAGUGAAGAUAAUAACAGAGGAUGUCUGGGUGUCAUGAUGCACACCUAUAAUCCCUUCAUUCAGGAAGCUGAGGCAGGAGGAUCUUUGUGAGCUCAAGGCCAGUUUGAACUACACAGUGAGAUCCUGUUUUAAAAAACAAACAAGCAAGCAAAUCAGAGAUUGCAAGCUUGAGGAGGUGGCAGCAUGCUCUUGACUAAGUAUCAGUUCCUGUCCCUUGCAAUAGCGAGGAUAUUAACCAGCACUGGGUGAGUGCUUAUGCUGCUGGCUCUGUCUGAAUUUCCACCUGUGGGCUCCAAUGCAGUUUUCACAGUAAGUCUGCAAGAAGAUCAGAUCAUUAUUCCCAUUUUGCAGAUGGCAAAAGGAGCCUCCUCGAGGCCACAACAGUCUCUCAAGGUCACACAUAGCAGAGCCAGUUUCCUUUAUAGAUGAUUAAAAUGCUCACACAGUGUCGUCUGCUGUUCCUGUCUUGUCUUCCCACAGUGGCCAUUAAGAACUUAGCCGGAGGCUUCAUUUGAAUCCUGCAUCGUGACUGGAAUAGGUCUGAACCGAUGCUUGCUAAUUGGUACAUCAAUUUUGAUCAACUUUAAUAAAAACAUUUAAAAUUUCUCCAGCGCCAACUAUUGACGUUCCUGUUCCCUACUCCAUGGGGGUCUCAAAAACAAAUCCUGCUGCCAGAUCUCCAUCCUUGAAUCCAUGCUCUGCUUGUGACAGUCUCAGAGUC
ensembl:lincRNA